GAUGAACGCUGGCGGCGUGCCUAAUACAUGCAAGUCGAGCGAACAGACGAGGAGCUUUCUCCUCUGACGUUAGCGGCGGACGGGUGAGUAACACGUGGAUAACCUACCUAUAAGACUGGGAUAACUUCGGGAAACCGGAGCUAAUACCGGAUAAUAUAUUGAACCGCAUGGUUCAAUAGGUGAAGACGGGUUUGCUGUCACUUAUAGAUGGAUCCGCGCCGCAUUAGCUAGUUGGUAAGGUAACGGCUUACCAAGGCAACGAUGCGUAGCCGACCUGAGAGGGUGAUCGGCCACACUGGAACUGAGACACGGUCCAGACUCCUACGGGAGGCAGCAGUAGGGAAUCUUCCGCAAUGGGCGAAAGCCUGACGGAGCAACGCCGCGUGAGUGAUGAAGGUCUUCGGAUCGUAAAACUCUGUUAUUAGGGAAGAACAAAUGUGUAAGUAACUAUGCACGUCUUGACGGUACCUAAUCAGAAAGCCACGGCUAACUACGUG
rnacentral:rRNA from 1 species